rnacentral:rRNA from 1 species
CCUACGGGAGGCAGCAGUGAGGAAUAUUGGUCAAUGGACGAGAGUCUGAACCAGCCAAGUCGCGUGAAGGAUGACUGCCCUACGGGUUGUAAACUUCUUUUAUAUGGGAAUAAAAUGCUCCACGUGUGGGAUUUUGUAUGUACCAUAUGAAUAAGGAUCGGCUAACUCCGUGCCAGCAGCCGCGGUAAUACGGAGGAUCCGAGCGUUAUCCGGAUUUAUUGGGUUUAAAGGGUGCGUAGGUGGAUUGUUAAGUCAGGUGGGAAAGUAUGCGGCUCAACCGUGAGUUUGCAGUUGAAACUGGCAGUCUUGAGUGCAGGAGAGGUGAGCGGAAUUCGUGGUGUAGCGGUGAAAUGCAUAGAUAUCACGAAGAACUCCGAUUGCGAAGGCAGCUCACUGGACUGCAACUGACGCUGAGGCACGAAAGUGUGGGUAUCGAACAGGAUUAGAUACCCGGGUAGUC